UACGAAGGGGGCUAGCGUUGCUCGGAAUCACUGGGCGUAAAGCGCACGUAGGCGGAUCCUUAAGUCGGGGGUGAAAUCCUGGAGCUCAACUCCAGAACUGCCUUCGAUACUGAGGAUCUCGAGUCCGGGAGAGGUGAGUGGAACUGCGAGUGUAGAGGUGAAAUUCGUAGAUAUUCGCAAGAACACCAGUGGCGAAGGCGGCUCACUGGCCCGGUACUGACGCUGAGGUGCGAAGGCGUGGGGAGCAAACAGG
rnacentral:rRNA from 1 species